rnacentral:lncRNA from 1 species
GUACCCGAGGCCGGGCCGGAGCCGCAGGCCAGCCGCGAUUCCUUCGGGCGAUGCUGGGGGCUUUCCGGUCGGGGCCGCAGCCGCUUCCGGAGCCGCGGGCGAGGUGCGUUCCCCAGCCUGGUUUGCUCUGGGCUCUGACCCGCCGCCGCGAAUCUCCGCUCGUAACUCCGGGCCUGAACCUGGAGGAGGGAGGAUUUCCUCUGUGCAGCUUUCGAGCGGUAGACUCACCCUGCCAGGCAGACCUAGAUUGGCAUAACCAGAGAUCAGUUCCAGUUGUGAUGCAGUGGGUGUCUACACACUUCUGAUGACACCUUUAUUUUAAAAGCUGAUGUUCCAAGGUGCAAGCGGUCUUCUCUGUCUUCUUUAUGGCCAGUAAAAUUCUCCAGAAGAGAUUUAUGGCAGCCUCACUCCCAGUAGUUUCUGCAUUUAGUGAGAUAAGGAAUGGAUUUUCUUCUGUGUAUUGCUGACACGAACAGGAGACGGAAAUACUGAGUAGAAGAGGGCGGUUCCCUGGCUAAGGCCCCACCCUCAAGCCUGGAUACCCGCGGCCCUAAAUGAGAAGAGGCGUUUCUGUUUGGGGCCCAAAAAGUUGCUUUUUGACCCACCACGCCCCCUAUCCUGCCCCCAUAUAAACCCCAAACCCCAACCUCCAGAGCAUACCAGCAGGUGAGGAGAUACGAGGCAAGCCGACUGACGGCAAAACGACGUAGCAGAGAAAGAGAGAAGAGGAGGGACGUCUGGACACCGAGAGAUGUUUGGCUCGGGGCAGUCAGAGCGGAGUCCAGCCCCUGGGCGGCCCAACUCCAGGGGAAGAUCACCUUCCCACUUCAUCCAUCCCCACCCUUCCAGCUCCCCAUCCAUCCUGCUGAAAGCCAUUUCCACCACUCAAUAAAACCUCGCAUUCAUCCUUCAAGUCCGUGUGUGACCCGAUUUUUCCUGGAUUCUGGAAAAGAGCUCGGAAUACAGAAAGCUGUCCCCUGGUCCUUUGCCCUUGUGAAAAAGCAGAAGGUCCAUUGAGCUGGUUAACACUCCAGCUGUCUGUGGUGGCCAAGCUGAAAGAGCUUUGUAACACUGGGGUUGCAGGCACCCACCUCUAGACGCUACCGCAGAGCCAGAGCCCAAAGCCCUCACCCCGGCCUCUGCACUUGCCCAUCUGCGUGCUCCCCCUCUCGCAAGGGGUUUCUGCAGAGGGGGCUACUGAACAGAUGGAAUCUUGCUCUCUUGCUCAGACUGGAGUGCAGUGGCAUGACCUUGGCUCACUGCAACCUCACCUCUCGGGUUCAAGCGAUUCUGCCUCAGCCUCUCGAGUAGCUGGGACUACAGGUGGGAGACCUCCACAGAACCCUUCCAGCAAGCUGUCUUCUAAAGCAAACAAGAAAAGGAAAGUCUGAGCAGUUUUGAUUAGAUUUCCCAGAAGUCAAAGCAAGGAAAAAUGAAAAAGCUUCAUUUCUCACGUUCUUAAAAGAGAGCACAGAUGUUGCAUCAUCUGGUUAGAUACCCUGAGAAUAAAAUCUGGAUCCAGUGAGAGGAAAGAUUCUGGGUGCUCAUGAAAAAAGAAACAAAACAAAACUUGGGAGCCUCUUGAGAGUGUACAGCAUCAGCCCUUGCCAACUCUUGUUUAUAUGCAUUUAACUUUCAGUUAACCAUGGGAAUAAUUCAUGAAAAUCCAAUCUACAAACAAAGGCCAUCCUAACGUUCAUGUUAUUCUUUUCCCUAAGAAUCUUUCACAAGAGCUAUAAUCAAGUAGAAUUAUGCUUUGAUUUGAAUUCUAAUUCAAUUGAAAAUAAAAAAUGAGGGCCGGACGCGGUGGCUCAUGCCUGUAAUCCCAGCGCUUUGGGAGGCUGAGGUGGACGGAUCACGAGGUCAGGAGAUCGAGACCAUCCUGGCUAACACGGUGAAACCCGAUCCCUA